rnacentral:lncRNA from 1 species
CAGCUGCACCCAUGGCAUAUGCAAGUUCCCAGACUCGGGAUCAAGUCUGAGCCACAGUUGCGACCUACAUCACAGCUGCAGCAACGCCAGACCCAUAACCCAUUAUGCCACAGCAGGAACUCCUGAAAUGUUAUGAAAACAAUGCUUAUUGAUGAAGUUAAUUAGAUUACUAAGUUUCAUGCAUGUCUACCGUAUUAGUUACCUAUUGCUAUAUAGUAAAUUAUCCCAAAAGUUAGACUUAUUUAUUAUUUUUAAAUUUAUGUAUUUAUUUAAAUUUAUUCAAAGAUCUAUUUAUAAUCUUAUAUAGUUUCUAAGGGUCAGGCAUCUAAAAGCAGCUUAGCAGUGUUGUUCAGGCUUAGGACUCCUCAUAAGCUUAUGAUUAAACUGUCAGCUGGGGCUGCAAACAUCUGAAGACUUGCCUGAGGCUCUGCUUCCAAUAAAGCUCACUCAUAUGGCUGUUGGCUGGAGGCCUUGGCUCCUGGAUACAUGUGCGGCUCCACAGGCUGCCUCAGGAUAUGGCAACUGGCUCCCUCCAGUGAUUGAUCGAGACAGAGUGAGAGGAGGAAGCUUCUAGCCUCAGAUGUGACAUACCAUCACUUUUGCUACAUUCUCUUAGCCACAUAGACCAACUCUGUACAUGUGGAAGAGCACUAUACACACACACACAAAAUGUGAGUAUCAGAACCUAAGGAUCAUCUUGGACGCUGGCUAUGACUCCCACUAAAUUCCUAACAUUUGCUUCUAAAUUAAAAGGGAUCUCCAGGAGUUCCCAUCGUGGCUCAGUGGUUAAUGAAUCCGACUAGGAACCAUGAGGUUGCGGGUUCGAUCCCUGGCCUCACUCACUGGGUUAAGGAUCCGGCAUUGCUGUGAGUUGUGGUGUAGGUUGAAGACUCGGCUCUGACCCCGCAUUGCUGUAGCUGUGGCAUAGGGCGGCAGCUACAGCUCCGAUCAGACCCCUAGCCUGGGAACCUCCAUAUGCCGCGGAUGUGAUCCUAGAGAAUACAAAAAAAAAAAAAAAGGAAAAGGGAUCUCCAGUUUCCUCUGGUACAUAUUUGCCUUCAAAACUACAAAUGCAAAUCGCAGUAGAUGUGUAGUACCGGUAAUUCAAAUGCUAUAAGCCACGGAACCAUCAGUCAUGUUUUUCUAAAAUGAAGUACAAGUCUUGAUAAAAUUCCCAAGAAAAUGAAGUACAAUUUUCUUUUGUGAAAAAAAAUGUAUUUAAAAUUAUGCAGGAGUUCCCUGGUGGUGCAGAGGGUUAAGGACCCAGCAUUGUCACUGCUAUGGCUCAGAAGGCUGCUGUGGCACAGGUUCACUCCCUGGUCUGGGAACUUUUGCAUGCUGUAUAUGUGGCCAAAAAGAAAAAACAAAAGUUCAAAAUUUUAAAAUAGGAUUUCUUUUGUGACACAGGGAGUUAAGGAUCUGGCAUUGUCACUGCAGUGGCUUGGGUCACUGCUGUGCUGUGGGUUCUGGCUCAGGAACUUCCACAUGGCAGAAGUGCAGCCAAAAAAAAAGAGAUAAAAAAAUAAAGUGAUAUAGGAGUUCCCGUCAUGGCACAGUGGUUAACGAAUCCGACUAGGAACCAUGAGGUUGCGGGUUCGAUCCCUGGCCUUGCUUAGUGGGUUAAGGAUCCGGCGUUGCCGUGAGCUGUGGUGUAGGUUGCAGAUGUAGCUCAGAUCCCACGUUGCUGUGGCUCUGGCAUAGGGUGGCAACUACAGCUCCAAUUAGACCCCUACCCUGGGAACCUCCAUAUGCCACAGGAGUGGCCCAAGAAAUGGCAAAAAGAAAAAAAAAAGAUAUAAAAAGUAUGUUUUGUUUAUAUGUAAAAUAUAAUUCCAUUCUAGGCUUAGAUGAUGACAAGCAAAUUAUUCACCCACAUGAAUGUCUGGUGAGACAUUUGAAUGUUUGGUGAGACAUGGAACAAUUCCUCUUUUUGGUCAACCGCCUGGUAGACUGUGAAACACUCAGCAUUUCUGGCCCCGGUUCCUAAAUGUCUGUGGUCAGGAGUGAUGUUUGAAAUUUUUAACAACUAGGAUUGCAUAGGUUCCCGUCUUGGCUCAGUGGUUAACAAAUCCGACUAGGAACCAUGAGAUUGCGGGUUUGAUCCCUGACCUCACUCAGUGGGUUAAGGAUCCGUCGUUGUAGUGAGCUGUGGUGUAGGUCGCAGACACGGCUUGGAUCUGACGUUGCUGUUGUUCUGGAGUAGGCUGGCAGCUGUAGCUCGGAUUGGACCCCUAGCCUGGGAACUUCCAUAUGCCAUGGGUGCGGCCCUAGAAAACACACACACACACACACACACACACACACACACACACACACCACACACACACACACACACACACACACACACACACAAGAAUAGAUGCCAGCCAGCAUGGUCCAAAUGGGCUCACAAUCUCUGCCAGCAGGGCUCCUCCAUUUGUCCUGUCAACUGAAGAUUCUCCCACAAAUUUCCAAAAUGUCCUCUAGAGGGCAGUAGUGUUUCUGCUGAGAACCACUGAUUUACCACUGAGGCCCUCACCCUGCACCCAGCUCAUCAUCUCAAAGGAUUACAACACCCUGCAAGUUGAGUUUAAUGAUAUUCACUUGAUAGAUGAGAAAACAGAAGCUCGGGAAGGGAUCAUAGCUAGUGAGUGGAAACCCUUGAAUCUAAAUUCAAAUCUCCAAGCUCUAAGGCCAUUCUCUCUCCCCUACAUUGCACCUCCUCUUGCUCAUUGGUGUUAUGGGCAGUCAGGGAGACUGGUAUCUUGAAGGAAACAAAGAACAAGAAUAAUAACAAAGAGUUCCCAUCGUGGUGCAGCGGAAAGGAAUCCAACUAGGAACCAUCAAGUUGAAGGUUCGAUCCCAGGCCUCGCUCAGUGGGAUGGGGAUCUGGUGUUGCAGUGAGCUGUGGUGUAGGUCGCAGACCCAGCUCAGAUCCAGUGUUGCUGUGGCUGUGGUGUAGGCUGGCAGCUACAGCUCCGAUUGGACCCCUAGCCUGGCAACUUCCAUAUGCCUCUGGUGUGGCCCUAAAAAGCAAAAAAAAAAAAAGAAGAAGAAGAAAUCCAGCUAUAAAACACUUUGAAUCCAGAGUUCCUGCUGGUAUAAAGGGAUCAGUGGUGUCUUGGGAGCUCUAUGGACACAGGUUGGAUCCUCAGCCCCGCAUGGUGGGUUAAGGAUCCAGCAUUGCUGCAGCUGCAGCUUAGGUUGCUUCUUCAGCUUGGAUGUGAUCCCUGGCCUGGGAACUCCAUAUGCUGUGGGGUGGCCAAAAAAAAAAAAAACAAAAAAAAAACUACAGUUAAUAAUAGUACCUAUGUCAUAGGAUUGUUGAGAAGAUUAGGUUAACGCAAGAAAGGUGUUCAAGUGUGAGCUAUUGACUCCCUCUCUGUACCUUAUACCUUAUGACUCAUUAUGAGGCCAUAUCUCCUUCCUGAUUCAUGAUAACUUCAGUUUGCCUUUGCCCUCUCUAUGCCUCCCAUCUGUCUUUGUGUAACCUGCAAUUGCAAUUGAUUUCAUUUGCUCAGUAUUGAUUAGUUCUACUUUCCAUGAGAGCGUAUAAUAAUCUCAUGCUGGCUUAAUUGAUGAGCUAGAGCUUUAUGUGUUGAUCUGGAAAAAUCUUGAUGCUAUAUUAAUAGGGAAGUAAAGAAAAAGAUAAGUAUGUAUAAUGUGCUCACAUUUGUGUGUUUUUGAAAGAGAGUUGGAGAGACAGAGUGUGCAUAUAAAUCAUAUACGGUUGAUCCUUCAACAACUCAGGGGCUAGGGCCGCUGACACUCUGCACAGUCAAAAAUCCGAGUAUGACUUUACAGUUGGCCCUUUGUAUCCUGGUUCUGCAUCCACAGAGUCAAC